rnacentral:rRNA from 1 species
AGUGAACGCUGGCGGUAGGCCUAACACAUGCAAGUCGAACGGCAGCACAGUAAGAGCUUGCUCUUACGGGUGGCGAGUGGCGGACGGGUGAGGAAUACAUCGGAAUCUACUUUUUCGUGGGGGAUAACGUAGGGAAACUUACGCUAAUACCGCAUACGACCUACGGGUGAAAGCAGGGGAUCUUCGGACCUUGCGCGAUUGAAUGAGCCGAUGUCGGAUUAGCUAGUUGGCGGGGUAAAGGCCCACCAAGGCGACGAUGCGUAGCUGGUCUGAGAGGAUGAUCAGCCACACUGGAACUGAGACACGGUCCAGACUCCUACGGGAGGCAGCAGUGGGGAAUAUUGGACAAUGGGCGAAAGCCUGAUCCAGCAAUACCGCGUGGGUGAAGAAGGCCUUCGGGUUGUAAAGCCCUUUUGUUGGGAAAGAAAAGCAGCAGGUUAAUACCCCGCUGUUCUGACGGUACCCAAAGAAUAAGCACCGGCUAACUUCGUG